UUGCACUUGAUAAGUUGGAAC
rnacentral:piRNA from 1 species